UACGAAGGGGGCUAGCGUUGCUCGGAAUUACUGGGCGUAAAGCGCACGUAGGCGGUCUUUUAAGUCGGGGGUGAAAUCCUGGAGCUCAACUCCAGAACUGCCUUCGAUACUGGAAGACUCGAGUCCGGGGGAGGUGAGUGGAACUGCGAGUGUAGAGGUGAAAUUCGUAGAUAUUCGCAAGAACACCAGUGGCGAAGGCGGCUCACUGGCCCGGUACUGACGCUGAGGUGCGAAAGCGUGGGGAGCAAACAGG
rnacentral:rRNA from 1 species